rnacentral:misc_RNA from 1 species
AAGAGUUUUUACAACUCCCAAACCCCUGUGAACAUACCUUCUGUUGCCUCGGCAGGCCCUGGCCUACCCUGUAGCGCCCCUACACUGUAGGGCCUGCUUUAGGGGGGCGCUGGGGGAACCUGCCGGCGGCCCGCAAAACUCUGUUUAGCAUUGAAUUCUGAACGUAUAACUAAAUAAGUUA